UACGUAGGGUGCAAGCGUUUAAUCGGAAUUACUGGGCGUAAAAGCGUGCGCAGGCGGUCCGUUAAGACAGAUGUGAAAUCCCCGGGCUUAACCUGGGAACUGCAUUUGUGACUGGCGGACUCGAGUAUGGCAGAGGGGGGGGUAGAAUUCCACGUGUAGCAGUGAAAUGCGUAGAGAUGUGGAGGAAUACCGAUGGCGAAGGCAGCCC
rnacentral:rRNA from 1 species